GACGAACGCUGGCGGCGUGCCUAAUACAUGCAAGUCGAGCGGACUUUCAAGAAGCUUGCUUUUUGAAAGUUAGCGGCGGACGGGUGAGUAACACGUGGGCAACCUGCCUGCAAGACGGGGAUAACUCCGGGAAACCGGGGCUAAUACCGGAUAAUAUCUUCCUUCGAAUGAAGGCAGGUUGAAAGGCGGAGCAAGCUGCUGCUUGCAGAUGGGCCCGCGGCGCAUUAGCUAGUUGGUGAGGUAACGGCUCACCAAGGCGACGAUGCGUAGCCGACCUGAGAGGGUGAUCGGCCACACUGGGACUGAGACACGGCCCAGACUCCUACGGGAGGCAGCAGUAGGGAAUCUUCCGCAAUGGACGAAAGUCUGACGGAGCAACGCCGCGUGAGCGAAGAAGGUCUUCGGAUCGUAAAGCUCUGUUGUCAGGGAAGAACAAGUACCGUUCGAACAGGGCGGUACCGUGACGGUACCUGACCAGAAAGCCACGGCUAACUACGUG
rnacentral:rRNA from 1 species